rnacentral:ncRNA from 2 species
UGACCGUGCCGCGACUGGCGUACACGUGGAAUGACCACGGGGGAGCGGCGGUUCCGCCGACGAGGUGUCGUCCGCCUGGGCACCCGGC